UGAAUCGCAUUUUUCGUUGNCAUACGGGUGAAANUGUGAUAAUGUAAGGGAAAAAAAUGAUGUUACCUUACUAUAAGUGUUGUCCAAAACUGGUGCCAGAAGACUCGGUAAGGCCAGAGACGCGAACGUUAGUCACAUUAACCAGGCGUAAAGGGUUUGUAGGCAGCUUAGGUAGUUUUAUUUUUAUUAUAGCUAUUAAAAAAAAAAUAAAAUUAAUUUAAGAUAGAAUCAUAUUGAGGUUAAGCCGAAUAAUACUUAGAGUAGGGACUAAAUCCUAAAAUACUAGGUGGAAUACUAAUGGUGAAAGCUUUUUAUCUAAUAUUGAUCGACGCUGAGAAACGAAGGCGAGAAUAGGAAAUAGGAUUAGAGACCCAAAUACCUCUCACUGUCAACGAUGAAUGGUGGAUUGUUAGUUUUUUAAAACUAGUACCGAUGCUAACGCGAUAACCAUUCCGCCUUGAAAGUACGGUUGCAAAACUGAAACCAANAAAAUUAGUCGGUCUCGAAGCAAACGANNUGAAGCAUGUUAUUU
rnacentral:rRNA from 1 species